AAUGGGCGAAAGCCUGACGCAGCAACGCCGCGUGCGGGAUGACGGCCUUCGUGGUUGUAAACCGCUUUCAGCAGGGACGAAAAUGACGGUACCUGCAGAAGAAGCCCCGGCUAACUACGUGCCAGCAGCCGCGGUAAUACGUAGGGGGCAAGCGUUGUCCGGAAUCAUUGGGCGUAAAGAGCUCGUAGGCGGUUCAGUAAGUCGGGUGUGAAAGCUCCGAGCUCAACUCGGAGAGGCCACUCGAUACUGCUGUGACUAGAAUCCAGUAGGGGAGUGUGGAACUCCUGGUGUAGCGGUGAAAUGCGCAGAUAUCAGGAAGAACACCAGCGGCGGAGGCGGCACUCUGGGCUGGUAUUGACGCUGAGGAGCGAAAGUGUGGGUAGCAAA
rnacentral:rRNA from 1 species